rnacentral:lncRNA from 1 species
GGUGUGCUUCUUAUGCUCCUCGAGCUCCUUCUCAAAGUUUGCUUUCCUCUGACUGUACUCCAUGAUCUCCUUCAUGUGGAGGUUUCGAAAGUGGGUGGCCUCCGCGGUGGCCUCAGAGUAGCUCUCCCUCAACCUGCGAAGUUCGCCAUCCAUCUCCUCUGACCUUUUUGUUAAAUAAUGAACUUUAUUCUUUAGAUGUUGGAUCGUGGACUUCAGCAGAAUUCUCUGUGGCAAGGGAAGCGCUUCGGCAGGACAUUGCCAUUGGGAGACAAAAGCGUCAAGGCGCGUCUCAUUGCAAAAAGA